AGAGACAUUUCCACCACAUGAAAGAUCAUGUACAGUAUUUCACUCUGGCUUCUGGUUCCACUCUUAUGAUGUCAAAGUCACAUAUUGACCUUGGCUGGAGAGCUUGCCUGUUCCAAGAGCACUACAGAAAUUCAUCACAGGAAGCUGCUUUGAUGCCACUGGAGUGUCCCUUAGAACCACCACUCUGCUAAGAGUUUGCUAAGCUUUCAGUUGUAGAAAGAGUCAACUGAAAAUAGCAUUUUGCUGGUCACUGAGAGGGAGUUAAACAAGGUGACUGAAGUAUUUCAAGGUUCAUUAAGUUACAGGGACACGCACUGGAAGAUCAUAACUGUUUACAGCAACUCAAGUUCUGGCAGACAAGCAGUGGAUGUGAAUCUCAAAACAAGUGUCUCUACGCAGAGCUCCUCUUCCCUUGGCUUUCAGAAAACCUGAUCUGGGAGUUAUUGAUUACAGAAUUUCCCUGCCACACUCAAGGGAAUGUUAUUUGCUUGGAAAAACUGUGAAUGCAAACUAAAAGUUAUUCUACCUGAUACUCUCUUUUAACUACUUUCCUCAUCAUUGUUCUGUGAGCGAUGGUCCCAGAAACUCUCACAAUUAACUUUGCAAACUUUCUUUUUACUCCAAAAACUCCAAAUAACAAAAUUGCUCCAAGCAGUCUUACCCUAGAGGUGGUAUUGGUAGUGAUGAAGAAAUCUCAUGAUAUCUAAUUAUGCAUGUACAUUUGCUGUGGCAUUUUCAGACUUAUUUUUGACUGACUCUUUGUGAUAUUUUGGAACUCGUGCUUCUGGCCAAACUAAGGUGACCCUGUCACAGAAGGGGGUCAGCUGGCAAGCAGGACAUGGCCUCAGCAUGUGCUGGCUGGGCCUGAUCCCCUGGGUGUCCUGUACCUGCUGUGUGAUGGUUCUUGGCAUGAGCUGCUCCAUGAGCUUCCCCAGCACUGCAGGCAGCUCAACAGGCCAGUAGUUUCCUGAAUCCUCCUUCCUGCUCAUCCUUGUAGUAUCCCCAGGGAGAAUCCCAUCCAGCCCCACAGACCUGUGUGUACCUACAUGCUGCAGGAGCAGUUGCCAGGUUAAUUUCUAGCUGGUCUGUGGCCACUUCUUUUGGAGAGAAAGACAGGUGUACUUUAAAGAGGGCAAAUAUCACCAAAUAGAUCUAAGACAGGAAGUACAAAACUGAACUUUAGCUGCUGUCACUUCAGUAUCACUACUGCAGCAUCUAAAAGAAACUAUAGCUGACCUUUGUACAGGCUGCUGCUACCCAAAAUCAAUCUGGCCAACUUGCGAAGAAUCUAAAAUGCAGGGUGCCAAGGAGGCAAGAUGCAGUUAUCCAAGUUAAAUUAAAUUUUAAAAUACA